GAGGCCCAUGCUUGCUUCAGUAGUACAUGUAACAAUACAGAGAACAUUAGCAUGGCCCUGUGUAAGAAUGACACGCAAAUUGGUGAAGCGUUCCAUAUUUUA